ACGAACGCUGGCGGCGUGCUUAACACAUGCAAGUCGAACGAGGUGCAGCGAGUUGAAGCUUCGGCGGAAACAUGCUGUUACCGAGUGGCGGACGGGUGAGUAACGCGUGAGCAACCUGCCCUGCAACGGGGGACAACAGUUGGAAACGACUGCUAAUACCGCAUGAGACCACGGUUUCGCAUGGAACUGAGGUAAAAGGAUUUAUUCGAUGCAGGAUGGGCUCGCGUCCCAUUAGAUAGUUGGUGAGGUAACGGCUCACCAAGUCAACGAUGGGUAGCCGACCUGAGAGGGUGAUCGGCCACACUGGAACUGAGACACGGUCCAGACUCCUACGGGAGGCAGCAGUGGGGAAUAUUGGGCAAUGGGCGAAAGCCUGACCCAGCAACGCCGCGUGAGGGAAGAAGGUCUUCGGAUUGUAAACCUUUGUCCUAUGGGACGAAACAAAUGACGGUACCAUAGGAGGAAGCUCCGGCUAACUACGUGCCAGCAGCCGCGGUAAUACGUAGGGAGCAAGCGUUGUCCGGAAUUACUGGGCGUAAAGGGUGCGUAGGUGGCCAUGUAAGUUAGGUGUGAAAGACCGGGGCUUAACCCCGGGGCGGCACUUAAAACUGUGUGGCUUGAGUACAGGAGAGGGAAGUGGAAUUCCUAGUGUAGCGGUGAAAUGCGUAGAUAUUAGGAGGAACACCAGUGGCGAAGGCGACUUUCUGGACUGUAACUGACACUGAGGCACGAAAGCGUGGGGAGCAAACAGGAUUAGAUACCCUGGUAGUCCACGCCGUAAACGAUGGAUACUAGGUGUGGGGCCCGAUAGGGUUCCGUGCCGAAGCAAACGCAUUAAGUAUCCCGCCUGGGGAGUACGAUCGCAAGGUUGAAACUCAAAGGAAUUGACGGGGGCCCGCACAAGCAGCGGAGCAUGUGGUUUAAUUCGAAGCAACGCGAAGAACCUUACCAAGGCUUGACAUCCUCUGACGACUGUAGAGAUACAGUUUCCCUUCGGGGCAGAGAGACAGGUGGUGCAUGGUUGUCGUCAGCUCGUGUCGUGAGAUGUUGGGUUAAGUCCCGCAACGAGCGCAACCCCUAGUAUUAGUUGCCAGCGAGUAAUGUCGGGAACUCUAAUACGACUGCCGGUGAUAAAUCGGAGGAAGGUGGGGACGACGUCAAAUCAUCAUGCCCCUUAUGUCUUGGGCUACACACGUACUACAAUGGCUGUCAACAGAGGGAUGCAAAGCCGCGAGGUGGAGCGAACCCCUAAAAGCAGUCUUAGUUCGGAUUGUAGGCUGCAACCCGCCUACAUGAAGUCGGAAUUGCUAGUAAUCGCAGAUCAGCAUGCUGCGGUGAAUACGUUCCCGGGCCUUGUACACACCGCCCGUCACACCACGGAAGUUGGGAGCACCCGAAGCCAGUGGCUUAACCGUAAGGAGAGAGCUGUCGAAGGUGAGAUCAAUGACUGGGGUG
rnacentral:rRNA from 1 species